rnacentral:rRNA from 1 species
AACGUAGGAGACAAACGUUAUCCGGAGUUACUGGGCGUAAAGGGCGUGUAGGUGGUUUCGUAAGUCUGGCGUGAAAUUUUUCGGCUUAACCGGGAAAGGUCGUCGGAUACUGCGGAGCUAGAGGACGGUAGAGGCGUGUGGAAUUCCGGGUGUAGUGGUGAAAUGCGUAGAUAUCCGGAGGAAUACCAAAGGCGAAGGCAGUGUCCUGGCUGGCAACUGACGCUGAGGCGCGAAAGCGUGGGGAGCAAACAGG